rnacentral:rRNA from 1 species
AUGCACGCUGGCUGCGUGCCUAAUACCUGCCAGUCGAGCGAACAGACGAGGAGCUUGCUCCUCUGACGUUAGCGGCGGACGGGUGAGUAACACGUGGAUAACCUACCUAUAAGACUGGGAUAACUUCGGGAAACCGGAGCUAAUACCGGAUAAUAUAUUGAACCGCAUGGUUCAAUAGUGAAAGACGGUUUUGCUGUCACUUAUAGAUGGAUCCGCGCCGCAUUAGCUAGUUGGUAAGGUAACGGCUUACCAAGGCAACGAUGCGUAGCCGACCUGAGAGGGUGAUCGGCCACACUGGAACUGAGACACGGUCCAGACUCCUACGGGAGGCAGCAGUAGGGAAUCUUCCGCAAUGGGCGAAAGCCUGACGGAGCAACGCCGCGUGAGUGAUGAAGGUCUUCGGAUCGUAAAACUCUGUUAUUAGGGAAGAACAAAUGUGUAAGUAACUAUGCACGUCUUGACGGUACCUAAUCAGAAAGCCACGGCUAACUACGUG